rnacentral:rRNA from 1 species
CCCUUAGAUGUUCUGGGCCGCACGCGUGCUACACUGAGUGGAUCAGCGGGUCAGGUUGCGCGAAAGCGUUUCCUAAUCUUUAAAUCCGCUCGUGAUGGGGAUUGACGGUUGCAAUUUUCUGUCAUGAACGAGGAAUACCUUGUAAGCGCGGGUCAUCAUCCCGCGCUGAAUACGUCCCUGCCCUUUGUACACACCGCCCGUCGCUCCUACCGAUUGAAUGUCCCGGUGAACAUUUUGGAGAUAUUGUAAACCUACUUUGUUUCUUUUAUCAAAUUUGCGUAAACCUUAACAUUUAGAGGAAGGAGAAGUCGUAACA